rnacentral:lncRNA from 1 species
CUUAGCUUAUUGUAUCUCUAUUUUUAUAUUUUGACAUUCCUUAUUGAAAUUGCUGGCUCCGCCGCAAAUAUAUAUAUAUUAUAUACAUGGGUGCACAGUUACAUACAUAUAUGGCUGUACAAUUACACAUAUAUAUCCAUAGAUUUUGUACAUAUACUUUGAUAAAUUAUUUUGCUAGUGUAUAGACUGCUUCUACGCUGGAUCUAUCUCUGACGGAAGUUUUAACUCAAUUGAAAAGCGAAUUUUACCGGACAAAAAUGUAAGAAAAAAAUUGAAAAUAGAUCUUUAUAAAGGGAACUACCAUGAAUGGAGACUGGAGAAUCGUACCUCAGAAGAUUUGAUGACGGAUGAAAACAGAGAGCUGAGGAGAAAAUUUUAGAAGGU